AGUGAACGCUGGCGGUAGGCCUAACACAUGCAAGUCGAACGGCAGCACAGUAAGAGCUUGCUCUUACGGGUGGCGAGUGGCGGACGGGUGAGGAAUACAUCGGAAUCUACUUUUUCGUGGGGGAUAACGUAGGGAAACUUACGCUAAUACCGCAUACGACCUACGGGUGAAAGCAGGGGAUCUUCGGACCUUGCGCGAUUGAAUGAGCCGAUGUCGGAUUAGCUAGUUGGCGGGGUAAAGGCCCACCAAGGCGGCGAUCUGUAGCUGGUCUGAGAGGACGACCAGACGCACUGGAACUGAGACACGGCCAAGACGCCUACGGGAGGCAGCAGUGGGGAAUGUGGGACAAUGGGCGAAAGCCUGAUCCAGCAAUGCCGCGUGUGUGAUGAAGGCCUUCGGGUUGUAAAGCACUUUUGGCGGGAACGAAAAGGACUGUGCCAAUACCACGGUUCGAUGACGGUACCCGCAGAAUAAGCACCGGCUAACUACGUG
rnacentral:rRNA from 1 species